AAAUUUGAAUUUUUAUCGUUUUUCGAUCAGUUUUAUAUCACUUUUCUAACGUUUCUCGCACGGUGUCCAUUCACCGCAAUUGAGACUCCUCAGCAAAGAGGAAGGAAGUUCCAAGAGAGCUAGCAAGGGAGAAGGAAAG
rnacentral:ribozyme from 1 species